GACGAACGCUGGCGGCGUGCUUAACACAUGCAAGUCGAACGAAAAGGCCCUGCUUUUGUUGGGUGCUCGAGUGGCGAACGGGUGAGUAACACGUGAGUAACCUGCCCUUGACUUUGGGAUAACUUCAGGAAACUGGGGCUAAUACCGCAUAGGAGCUCCUGCUGCAUGGGGGGGGUUGGAAAGUUUCGGCGGUUGGGGAUGGACUCGCGGCUUAUCAGCUUGUUGGUGGGGUAGUGGCAGACCACGGGUUUGACGGGUAGCCGGCCUUAGAGGGUGACCGGCGACAAUGGGCCUGAGAGACGGCCCAGAAUGCUACGGGAGGCAGCAGGGGGGAAUAUGGCACAGUGGGGGGAAGCCUGAGGCAGCAGCGCCGCGUGCGGGAUGACGGCUUUCGGGUUGUAAACCGCUUUCGCAUGUGACGAGGAGGGAGUGACGGUAAUGGGUAAAGAAGCACCGGCUAACUACGUG
rnacentral:rRNA from 1 species